rnacentral:piRNA from 1 species
UGGAGAAGAUGCCACUGUGUUUUAUGGA